UCCGAAUGGGGAAACCCACUGCUUCGGCAGUAUCCUGCAGUGAAUUCAUAGCUGCUGGAAGCGAACCCGGUGAACUGAAAUAUCUAAGUAACCGGAGGAAAAGAAAUCAACCGAGAUUCCCUAAGUAGUGACGAGCGAACGGGGAGCAGCCCUUAAGCUGGAAUGGCUUUAGAAAAACAAUCUGGAAAGAUUGGCCAUAGAAGGUGAUAGCCCUGUAUUUAAAAGGGCCACUCCAGUGAAGACGAGUAGGGCGGGGCACGUGAAACCCUGUCUGAAUAUGGGGGGACCAUCCUCCAAGGCUAAAUACUCCUGACCGACCGAUAGUGAACCAGUACCGUGAGGGAAAGGCGAAAAGAACCCCGGAGAGGGGAGUGAAAUAGAUCCUGAAACCGUGUGCGUACAAGCAGUAGGAGCUCGCAAGAGUGACUGCGUACCUUUUGUAUAAUGGGUCAGCGACUUACUGUUCGUGGCAAGCUUAACCGUAUAGGGGAGGCGAAGGGAAACCGAGUCUGAUAAGGGCGCAUAGUCGCGGGCAGUAGACCCGAAACCGGGUGAUCUAGUCAUGGCCAGGGUGAAGGUGCCGUAACAGGUACUGGAGGCCCGAACCCACGUCUGUUGCAAAAGACGGGGAUGAGCUGUGAUUAGGAGUGAAAAGCUAAUCGAACCCGGAGAUAGCUGGUUCUCCUCGAAAGCUAUUUAGGUAGCGCCUCGGACGAAUACUACUGGGGGUAGAGCACUGUUAUGGCUAGGGGGUCAUCGCGACUUACCAAACCAUUGCAAACUCCGAAUACCAGUACGUACUAUCCGGGAGACACACGGCGGGUGCUAACGUCCGUCGUGAAAAGGGAAACAACCCAGACCCACAGCUAAGGUCCCAAAUUCACUGCUAAGUGGAAAACGAUGUGGAAAGGCAUAGACAGCCAGGAGGUUGGCUUAGAAGCAGCCACCCUUUAAAGAAAGCGUAAUAGCUCACUGGUCGAGUCGGUCUGCGCGGAAGAUUUAACGGGGCUAAGCAGUGAACCGAAGCUUGGGGUGCAUAAAACUUGUUUUAUGCGCGGUAGAGGAGCGUUCCGUAAGCCUGCGAAGGUGGAUUGAGAAGUCUGCUGGAGGUAUCGGAAGUGCGAAUGCUGACAUGAGUAACGAUAAUGCGGGUGAAAAGCCCGCACGCCGAAAGCCCAAGGUUUCCUUGCGCAACGUUAAUCGACGCAGGGUUAGUCGGUCCCUAAGGCGAGGGCGAAAGCCGUAGUCGAUGGGAAGCAGGUUAAUAUUCCUGCACCUCGCGUGAGUGCGAUGGAGGGACGGAGAAGGUUAGGUGUACCGGGCGUUGGUUGUCCCGGGGAAAGGCGGUAGGUUUGGAUCUUUGGCAAAUCCGGGAUCCUUUAAGACCGAGCACCGAGACGAGCCUUUAUGGCGAAGUCACUGAUACCACGCUUCCAGGAAAAGCUCCUAAGCUUCAGCUCACGAAGACCGUACCGUAAACCGACACAGGUGGGUAGGAUGAGAAUUCUCAGGCGCUUGAGAGAACUCGGGUGAAGGAACUAGGCAACAUGGCACCGUAACUUCGGGAGAAGGUGCACCCUUUUUGGUGGCUCAUGCGAGCUAUAGCUGAAGAGGGUCGCAGAAACCAGGCCGCUGCGACUGUUUAUCAAAAACACAGCACUCUGCAAACACGAAAGUGGACGUAUAGGGUGUGACGCCUGCCCGGUGCUGGAAGGUUAAUUGAUGGGGUCAGCCGCAAGGCGAAGCUCUUGAUCGAAGCCCCAGUAAACGGCGGCCGUAACUAUAACGGUCCUAAGGUAGCGAAAUUCCUUGUCGGGUAAGUUCCGACCUGCACGAAUGGCGUAACGACAGCGGCGCUGUCUCCACCCGAGACUCAGUGAAAUUGAAAUCGCUGUGAAGAUGCAGCGUUCCCGUGGCAAGACGGAAAGACCCCGUGAACCUUUACUAUAGCUUUACACUGAACGUUGAGUUCGUCUGUGUAGGAUAGGUGGGAGGCUAUGAAACUGUGGCGCUAGCUGCAGUGGAGCCAUCCUUGAAAUACCACCCUGUCGUGCUUGACGUUCUAACCUAGAUCCGUUAUCCGGAUCAGGGACCGUGUAUGGUGGGUAGUUUGACUGGGGCGGUCUCCUCCUAAAGAGUAACGGAGGAGCACGAAGGUACGCUCAGCGCGGUCGGACAUCGCGCACUGUGUGCAAAGGCAUAAGCGUGCUUGACUGCAAGAUCGACGGAUCAAGCAGGUACGAAAGUAGGUCUUAGUGAUCCGGUGGUUCUGUAUGGAAGGGCCAUCGCUCAACGGAUAAAAGGUACUCCGGGGAUAACAGGCUGAUACCGCCCAAGAGUUCAUAUCGACGGCGGUGUUUGGCACCUCGAUGUCGGCUCAUCACAUCCUGGGGCUGUAGUCGGUCCCAAGGGUAUGGCUGUUCGCCAUUUAAAGUGGUACGCGAGCUGGGUUCAGAACGUCGUGAGACAGUUCGGUCCCUAUCUGCCAUGGGCGUUGGAAGUUUGAGAGGGGCUGCUCCUAGUACGAGAGGACCGGAGUGGACGAACCUCUGGUGUUCCGGUUGUCACGCCAGUGGCAUUGCCGGGUAGCUAUGUUCGGAAGCGAUAACCGCUGAAAGCAUCUAAGCGGGAAGCGCGCCUCAAGAUGAGACUUCCCGGGGCACAAGCCCCCUAAAGGAACCAUAUAGACUAUGUGGUUGAUAGGUCAGGUGUGU
rnacentral:rRNA from 1 species